rnacentral:rRNA from 1 species
CGUGUAGGCGGCUUUGUGUGUCCCAUGUGAAAGCCCUCGGCUCAACCGGGGAACUGCAUGGGAAACUGCAGAGCUUGAGUCCGGGAGAGGAUAGUGGAAUUCCCAGUGUAGCGGUGAAAUGCGUAGAUAUUGGGAGGAACACCGGUGGCGAAGGCGGCUAUCUGGACCGGUACUGACGCUGAGACGCGAAAGCCAGGGAGCAAACG